AAAUCUUAGCUUAAUUAAAGUAUCCGGGUUGCAUUUGGAUGAUAUAGAUUAAAGUUCUAUAGGUUUUA
rnacentral:tRNA from 1 species